ensembl:lncRNA
CCUCCCUCCUACUCAUGCCGUCUUUCCCCCUCUCUCUCCCUCUAUCACACUCUUUCUUUCAGUCUCUCUCUCACUCUCUUUUUGUGUCUCUUUUUUACCUCAGUGUCUGUCUCGCUCUCUCUCCAUCUAUCUCAAUGUGAUGUCUCUUUCUCUCUUUACAUCUUUAUCUUUUUCUUCCUGUCUCACUUUUUCGCUCAUAUUUUCACAGUGAGUCACCAGGUCUCCAAGCCGAGGAACUGAACUCUGAAAAUCUUGUUCUAACACACACACACACACACACAGGUCUUAAAAGGAAUUAGGGAGUUGUGUAACUAUUCCAGCACACUGACAUUAGCAAGGCCUGAAAUUAUGUAAAACAUCACAGGAGCGGAUCUGGUCUCGAGCUGGAACGAAUCUCUCCCUCACCCCAUAAACUGAAACUUUAAUCACUGACACAUCACUGAUCCAUCACUGACCCAUCACUGAUCCAUCACAGACCCAUCACUGAUCCAUCACAGACCCAUCACAGGUCCAUCACAGACCCAUCACUGACCCAUCACUGACCCGUCACAGGUCCAUCACAGGUCCAUCUCUGACCCAUCACAGACCCAUCACAGACCCGUCACAGGUCCAUCACAGGUCCAUCUCUGACCCAUCACAGGUCCAUCUCUGACCCAUCACAGGUCCAUCACAGGUCCAUCUCUGACCCAUCACAGGUCCAUCACAGGUCCAUCAGUGAUCCAUCACUAUGAGCUUGUCAACGCAUCUUAAUGAAAGCUUUGCUUCAGAUCCCAUUGUGCACAUCACUAUGGAGGAGAUCUUCAGCAAAGUCAUUCCAGACUUUCUCGGACACAGUGAGUUGCGUUCAUGGAAUUUUUCCCUCAUAAACGCAAGAUAUCCUCUAAACACACCCACGUGGACUUGGAAGAAUGCUGGGUAAUUAGCUGAUUAGGUUGGAUCAGGUGUAGUAAAGUCGGUAAAACAGUAAAAUAUUGGGAGUAGGGUUACUCCAGGAGUAGGACUGGGAACCAUUAAGGUAGGAGAAUAGGGGAGGCAUUUCAU